AAAAAAAAAUGGGGUCGGGUUGUUUCAAUUUGGUAUCAGAGCGAUUACGGUUCUAGGAUGUGUAGAAAAAUUAAUUGAUGAAUUAUUUUCCUGAUGAUUGAUGUGGGAUGAGCUAGGGUGUUAGCAUAUUGAGGAUUGAUUAUGGAGUGUUUAGUCAAUUGUGUGUUGUUGGAGUCCUAGCUUCAUCUUCUCCGAGCCUUAAAUGAGAUUCCACGGUAAGUUGUUUGUGAUAUAUUCGUUUGUUUUAGUUUCUUAGCCAUUUGUUCUUGAGUAGCGCAGAUGGGUAGAGGAGCUGGAGUUCGUGGUCGUGGUCGUGGUCGCGGUAGGAGACGAGUCCUCGAGGGUACCGGCGAGAGUAAUGGCCACAGUGCCACAGUUGAGCAGAGUGUGGGUUCGCAGCAUGGGUUUGUGGAGCCUGGGGUUAGGAACGGUCUUGGUGCCGAUAUAGCUGGUGCAGCCGGAGUGGGGGCUGGUGGAGCUGGUGUCGGUGCCGGUGUGCAUGUCGUUGGUGCUGAGGGCCCAAGAGUGAUGGGUGCCGCAACCAGAGGAGCCCAGGUUCCAGAGGUUGGUUUGGCGGGCCUACUGAGACAGUUGUUGGAGCGGUUACCAGGUGUGGUACCAGUGCAGGUUCCAGUGGCGCCACGAGUGGCAGGGGUGCAGCAGAGGGCUGCGGUUGCUGAGGAGGUUCCAUCUUAUUUGAGGAUGAUGGAGCACUUGCAAAGGAUUGGCACCGGGUAUUUUUCUGGUGGUACUAGUCCUGAGGAGACCGACAGUUAGAGGUCGCGGGUUGAGCGGAACUUCGGUUCGAGCAGAUGCCCGGCGGAGUAUCGGGUGGAUCUAGCAGUGCAUUUUCUAGAGGGGGAUGCACAUUUGUGGUGGCGGAGUGGGACUGCCAGGAGGAGGCAGGCGGAUAUGUCUUGGGCAGAUUUCGUGGCUGAGUUUAAUGCCAAGUACUUUCCGCAGGAGGCGCUCGACCGUAUGGAGGCGCGUUUUCUUGAGCUGACACAGGGUGAGCGGUCGGUUCGGGAGUAUGACCGGGAGUUUAACCGACUCUUGGUGUAUGCGGGUGGGGGCAUGGAGGAUGACCAGACCCAAAUUAGAAGGUUCUUGAGGGGACUUUGACCGGAUUUGAGGGUGCGGUGUAGAGUGUCGCAGUACGCCAUGAAGGCGACACUGGUGGAGACGGCUGCUGAGGUAGAGGAGAACCUUCAGAGGCAGGUGGUGGGAGUGAGUCCAGCGGUACAACUGAAGAAGACUCAGCAGCAGGUGGCACCUAGCAAGGGCGGCAAGCCUGCGCAGGGGCAGAAGAGGAAGUGGGAUCAUCCUUCCAGAGCUGGACAGGGUGGUCGUGCAGGAUGUUUUUCUUGUGGGAGCCUUGACCACAAGGUGGCGGAUUGCACGCAGCGAGCUGAGACGAGGGAGUGCUACCACUGCAGGGAGAGAGGACAUCUCAGGCCAAUUUGUCCUAAGCUGCAGCGGAUGGCAAUGGCAGUGGUACAGCCGGCGGUGCAGCACGGAGCGUAGGUGUAGCAGGAAGUAUAGCAGUUAGCACAUAUUGCAGCGGCACCGCAGGGUUACACUACGCGUGAGAUAGGCGGUACCAGCAACAGAGCGAUUACUGGUAUGAUUUCUGAGACUCAGACUUUGUGAAUUGUUUCUGUUGUUUUGGAUAUCAUUGUUUUGUGAUGAAUGUUAGGGUUCUUAGCACAUGAGGUUUGUGUAGGGACCUUAUUAGUGGGCGGUGUAGAGGUCCAUGUGUUGUUUGACUCUGGAGCAUCACAUUGCUUCAUUACCCCGGAGAGUGCCUCGCGCGGCAACAUCCGUGGGGAUCCUAGUGAGCAGCUUGGAGCCGUCAAGGUUGCCGGAGGGCAGUUUCUAGCGGUUCUGGAGAGAGCGAAGGGUGUAGAUAUUCAGAUUGUAAGGGAGUCAAUGCCAGCAGAUUUGAUUAUCAGCCCUGUAGAGUUGUAUGAUAUUAGCCGCCAUGGGUUUAUUUGGUUAGUGGGAAGCUAUGGUUUCUGAUUUGAUUAGAAUUAGAGAGAACGAGGUUAAGGGUUAC
rnacentral:sRNA from 1 species